rnacentral:rRNA from 1 species
ACAGCAGUCGCCGCGGUAAUACGUAGGUGGCAAGCGUUGUCCGGAAUUAUUGGGCGUAAAGGGCUCGCAGGCGGUUUCUUAAGUCUGAUGUGAAAGCCCCCGGCUCAACCGGGGAGGGUCAUUGGAAACUGGGAAACUUGAGUGCAGAAGAGGAGAGUGGAAUUCCACGUGUAGCGGUGAAAUGCGUAGAGAUGUGGAGGAACACCAGUGGCGAAGGCGACUCUCUGGUCUGUAACUGACGCUGAGGAGCGAAAGCGUGGGGAGCGAACAGGAUUAGAUACCCCUGUAGUCCCUGUCUCUUAUAA